CUGGGAUUCUUCAUGUCAGAGGUGGCCUUGAAUCAGCCAAAAAAUAGUUCUAUAGCUCCUCCCCGUUGGUAAGAGCGAGAUGUUUAUUUUGCCAUCGCGGCCCCUGAGGCUUCCAUGCGUGGCCCCUGGGCCACCUGCGCCUGAAUCACUCAGGAUCUUGUUUCUAGAAUGUUUCCUGGCCCCAUAGACUGGGCACUCAGGAGGCUCUGGGGACAGCCCUGAGCACCUGCAUUCCAGACAGGUCUCCAGCACCGCCCGCGGCCUGCCUGGGCCUUCAGGCCCCUGUCCCCACAGCCAGAGCAGCCUGGCCAGUGGGUGUCCAGAUGUGCUGCCAGGGAACCAGCCACUCAGUGGCCCCUGAGAACUUGUCACAGAUGCAAAUUCUCUGCAGAGAACUGGGGUCUCUGGGCCGGGCCAGGCUGGGGCCCAAGGUGAAGCCGAGUUUGCGGCCGGAUCAUGGCUCCUUGGCCCUUCCACGGGACUGUCCCCCCG
rnacentral:lncRNA from 1 species